rnacentral:rRNA from 1 species
GAUGAACGCUGACAGAAUGCUUAACACAUGCGAGUCUACUUGAAUUUGGGUUUUUUCACUUAGAUUUGGGUGGCGGACGGGUGAGUAACGCGUAAAGAACUUGCCUCACAGCUAGGGACAACAUUUGGAAACGAAUGCUAAUACCUGAUAUUAUGAUUAUAAGGCAUCUUAGCAUUAUGAAAGCUAUAUGCGCUGUGAGAGAGCUUUGCGUCCCAUUAGCUAGUUGGAGAGGUAACGGCUCACCAAGGCGAUGAUGGGUAGCCGGCCUGAGAGGGUGAACGGCCACAAGGGGACUGAGACACGGCCCUUACUCCUACGGGAGGCAGCAGUGGGGAAUAUUGGACAAUGGACCAAGAGUCUGAUCCAGCAAUUCUGUGUGCACGAUGACGUUUUUCGGAAGGUAAAGUGCUUUCAGUUGGGAAGAAAAAAUGACGGUACCAACAGAAGAAGUGACGGCUAAAUACGUG